rnacentral:rRNA from 1 species
CUGCUGCCUUCCGUAGGAGUUUGGUCCGUGUCUCAGUACCAAUGUGGGGGGUUAACCUCUCAGUCCCCCCUAUGUAUCGUUGUCUUGGUGAGCCGUUACCCCACCAACUAACUAAUACAACGCAUGCCCAUCCAUUACCACCGGAGUUUUCAACCCAAGAAGAUGCCUCCCUGGAUGUUAUGGGGUAUUAGUACCGAUUUCUCAGUGUUAUCCCCCUGUAAUGGGUAGGUUGCAUACGCGUUACGCACCCGUGCGCCGGUCGCCGACGUAGAUUG